rnacentral:rRNA from 1 species
GACGAACGCUGGCGGCGUGCCUAAUACAUGCAAGUCGAGCGCUGAAGUUUGGUACUUGUUCCUCUUGGGUUAGCAGCGAACGGGUGAGUAACGCGUGGAGAAUCUACCUUUAAGCGUGGGACAACUUCUGGAAACGAAUGCUAAUACCGCAUAAUAUCUUUAACCACAUGUUUCAAUUUUGAAAGAUGCAAUUGCAUCACCCAAUGGUGAUCUCGCGUUGUCUUAGCUAAUUGGGUAGGUAAAGGCUUAACCAGGGCAUGAUACAUAAGCGACCCGAGGAGGGGAUCGGGCACAAUGGGAAGGAGACAAGGCCCAAACUACUACGGGAGGCAGCAGUAGGGAAUCUUCGGCAAUGGACGAAAGGCUGACCGAGCAAAACCGCGUGAGUGAAGGAGGUUUUCGGAUCGUAAAACUCUGGUGGUAGAGAAGAACGUUGGUGGGAGUGGAAAGCGCAUCAAGUGACGGUAACUAACCAGAAAGGGACGGCUAACUACGUG